rnacentral:rRNA from 1 species
CCUACGGGCGGCAGCAGUGGGGAAUAUUGCACAAUGGGGGUAACACUGAUGCAGCGACGCCGCGUGAGUGAAGAAGUAUUUCGGUAUGUAAAGCUCUUUCAGCAGGGGAGAAAAUGACGGUACCUGAUUAAGAAGCUCCGGCUAACUACGUGACGGCAGCCGCGGUACUACGUAGGGGGCAAGCGUUAUCCGGAUUUACUGGGUGUAAAGGGAGCGUAGACGGCAGCACAAGUCUGUAGUGAAAUGCCGGGGCUUAACCCCGGAACUGCUGUGGAAACUGUGCAGCUAGAGUGCAGGAGAGGUAAGUGGAAUUCCUAGUGUAGCGGUGAAAUGCGUAGAUAUUAGGAGGAACACCAGUGGCGAAGGCGGCUUACUGGACUGUAACUGACGUUGAGGCUCGAAGGCGUGGGGAGCAAACAGGAUUAGAUACCCUUGUAGUC